rnacentral:sRNA from 1 species
ACUGCUUUUCUUUAAAGUCCCCUGAUGUUCGGGUCCCGCCAGUUUACUGGCGGGUUUUUUAUU